rnacentral:SRP_RNA from 1 species
AGCUCGGCACUACGCGAUCUCAACGCUCAAAUCUUGUCAGGACGGAAGUAGCAGCAAUACGAGAUGCUUGAAAUAGGCGUAGUUCCCGGGCUGUU